rnacentral:rRNA from 1 species
AGCAGCCGCGGUAAUUCCAACUCCAAUAGCGUAUAUUAAAGUUGUUGCAGUUAAAAAGCUCGUAGUUGAAUUUCGGGAUUGACACAUCGGUCGUGCCUUAAGGGGUAUGAACUGGUGUAGUCAAUUUCUCACCUUCUGGAGAACCGCGAUGCCCUUAAUUGGGUGUCGCGGGGAACCAGGACCUUUACUUUGAAAAAAUUAGAGUGUUUAAAGCAGGCAUUUUGCUUGAAUACAUUAGCAUGGAAUAAUAAAAUAGGACGGCAUGAUUCUAUUUUGUUGGUUUCUAGGAUCACCGUAAUGAUUAAUAGGGAUAGUUGGGGGCAUUAGUAUUCAAUUGUCAGAGGUGAAAUUCUUGGAUUUAUUGAAGACUGACUACUGCGAAAGCAUUUGCCAAGGAUGUUUUCAUUAAUCAAGAACGAAAGUUAGGGGAUCGAAGACGAUCAGAUACCGUCGUAGUCUUAACCAUAAACUAUGCCGACUAGGAAUCAGACGAUGUUAAUUUUUUAAUGACUCGUUUGGC